rnacentral:rRNA from 1 species
ACUCCUACGGGAGGCAGCAGUGGGGAAUAUUGGACAAUGGGGGCAACCCUGAUCCAGCAAUGCCGCGUGUGUGAAGAAGGCCUUCGGGUUGUAAAGCACUUUCGGUGGGGACAAACAAGGCGGAGCUAACAUCUCCGUCCCUGAUGGUACCCAAAGAAGAAGCACCGGCUAACUCUGUGCCAGCAGCCGCGGUAAUACAGAGGGUGCAAGCGUUAAUCGGAAUUACUGGGCGUAAAGGGUGCGUAGGUGGUUUGUUAAGUCAGGCGUGAAAUCCUCGGGCUCAACCUGGGAACUGCGCUUGAUACUGACUGACUCGAGUGUGGUAGAGGAUAGUGGAAUUCCCGGUGUAGCGGUGAAAUGCGUAGAUAUCGGGAGGAACAUCAGUGGCGAAGGCGGCUAUCUGGACUAACACUGACACUGAGGCACGAAAGCGUGGGUAGCAAACAGGAUUAGAUACCCUGGUAGUCCACGCCCUAAACGAUGGGUACUAGACGUCGGGAAGCUUGUCUUCUUGGUGUCGCAGCUAACGCAAUAAGUACCCCGCCUGGGGAGUACGGUCGCAAGAUUAAAACUCAAAUGAAUUGAC